rnacentral:rRNA from 1 species
UACGGAGGGUGCAAGCGUUAUCCGGAUUCACUGGGUUUAAAGGGUGCGCAGGCGGAUAUGUAAGUCAGUGGUGAAAUCUCCGGGCUUAACCCGGAACUGCCGUUGAUACUAUAUAUCUUGAAUGCUGUGGAGGUAAGCAGAAUAUGUCAUGUAGCGGUGAAAUGCUUAGAGAUGACAUAGAAUACCUAUUGCGAAGGCAGCUACUACGCAGAUAUUGACGCUCAUGCACGAAAGCGUGGGGAGCAAACAGG